UACGUAGGGUGCAGGCGUUAAUCGGAAUUACUGGGCGUAAAGCGUGCGCAGGCGGUUUGCUAAGACAGGUGUGAAAUCCCCGGGCUUAACCUGGGAAUGGCAUUGGUGACUGCACGGCUAGAGUGUGUCAGAGGGGGGUAGAAUUCCACGUGUAGCAGUGAAAUGCGUAGAGAUGUGGAGGAACACCGAUGGCGAAGGCAGCCCCCUGGGUCAAGAUUGACGCUCAUGCACGAAAGCGUGGGGAGCAAACAGG
rnacentral:rRNA from 1 species